GUGUGACUUUGUUGUCCAGCAGGGUGGUGGGAGAUCAACUCCAGAUGUUACUUCCUCUCCACUGAGCAGAAGACUUGGGAGGACAGCAGGAAAUACUGUAAGAGUAAAGGUGCUGACUUGGUGGUGAUCAGCAGCGAACAGGAACAGAGGGCCUUGUACCGUCUGGAUGGGGAUGCGUAUCUCUUGUUCUGGAUCGGUCUGUAUAACACAACUGAAACCACUGGAUGGAAAUGGGUGGAUGGAUCUGCGCUGACCAAACCAUUUUGGCAGUCUGGCCAGCCGGAUGGUGGUGGCCCCAACAACAUGGAGGACUGUGUGGAGAUGUAUCACCAGAACCCAGUGCUGGCCAGCUGGAACGACGCCCCCUGUGGAGCCAAGCGCGGCUGGCUGUGUGAGAAAGAUCAGGCUGAAAAGAUCCGUGCCUAGGCAUAGUCACUACAAUACAUUGUAACAUCAAUGAAAAACCAAAAUAUGGAUAAUUAAAAUAAGCAAAUCUCAGUGAGAAUUAAAGACAUAUUACAAUGUACAAU